rnacentral:rRNA from 1 species
UACGUAGGGGGCAAGCGUUGUCCGGAGUUACUGGGCGUAAAGCGCACGCAGGCGGUCUUUUAAGUUUGGAGUGACAGUUGGUGGCUUAACCGCCAAAGUGCUUCGAAAACUGAAAGACUUGAGGGCUUCAGAGGGACACGGAAUUCCGGGUGGAGUGGUGAAAUGCGUAGAUAUCAGGAGGAACACCUGUGGUGUAGGCGGCUUUCUGGACCAUAGCUGACGCUGAGACACGAAAGCGUGGGUAGCAAACAGG